UGCUUUUGCUUCAAGCAUAGAAAUUCGGAUAUUGGUGUGUGCUCUUUUAUAUGGUAAUGAUAUUAAUUAGGGGGUGUUUACAAGGCGGAGAUCUGACACCAGUGAGCUGCGCACAAUUUCAAGAUAAUUUGCUAUACAUGAUUCUACAGAUCAGCAGUUU